GGGGAGUAACAAUGGCUUCCGGCCCCUUUCAGGUACCUCAUAAGCGCUUUUGUCCUCUUGGAAAACGGAGUAUGUAGAAUUUGAGUUGCAGAAUCCCGCGCCCCGUUUUGUUGUGAGGACAUGGUUAGUUAAGCGUGAGCACCCGUUUCCAGAAUGAGACCUAGAGGUGCUGGCGAGCAAAGGAGAGCGACUUCCUCCUCCUCUCGUUGUUUCAUGGGAGUUGCAGUCCUGACGACCCCCUCCAUUUUAUUAUAAAUAGGGUGGGAUAUCAAACCUGUAACCCAGGCAACACGCUUUGGACCAGAAAUCCAACGGGCCACACUCUUCGGGGGUGCGGGCAGAUGCUCUAACCACUGCGCCGGUCGGGGCUUGCAAGGUUUAUUAUAACCCCUUUUUUGAUGGUUUCCCUUUGUAACUUAUGCAUUAACAUGUCACCCUUUUAGCUCUAUUAAAAAAAGGUUUUUAAGACUUGGGGCCCUUGUUCUAAUUGUUUAAGUAGUUCCAGUAUUUUCAUCAUCACAAUAUAGUUUUUGCAAACAAAAAUUCCAUCAGAAUUACUUCAUUAUCAAAUAGCAAAUCCACCAGGAUUUCACCUGUUGAUUGCCUAGCCUAUAAACUCUUAUGAAGAGCUCCAUGUUUUGUUCACUGUAGUAUCUCCAGGUCAGCAUUCCUGACAUGUAAGAUACUCAAAUCUACUUACUCAUUUUAGACUGGCCCUGACAACUUUUGUAACACUGAAGGCAUUUUUCCUGGCUUCCUAAAUCAAGACAAACACCUGGAGAGUGUUUUAUUUUUUUCAGUACACAUUAAAAUGUGCUAGUCCUGAACAAAGUGUCAGCAGCAAGGUUGAUGGUUUUACUUUAAGAUUAAAAUUAAAUCAAGCUCCCAUAGAAAGUUUACUAUCUUAAUUCAGAGAAUUCAGGAUUUAUGUCUUUGGGUUGAGGAAGUAUUGUUUUAGAAAGUUAGUAUGUAGCAACACAGAGAAACAGCUCCAAAUGGUCACCACUUCAACUAACACUCCCCCCUCCACCAAAUAAGAGCAGCAAAGGCACAUGAUUAUGAGCAAAUCCACAUUUAUUUCAACGCCAUGUCGUUUUCAAUUUAAAAACCUCCUAAGUUAGCGGGAGCCCUAGUUCCCUGGGACAGCAUGCCAGAGGUACUGAAUAAAAUUCAUCACCUUUCUCUCCAAACCCCUAGCAAUUCAUCCAAUUCAAGUCCACACAGCGUAGAAAGCCAGGAGUUGUCUCUUCAGUCAGUCUGCUCCUCUGGUUCCUGGUCUUUCUUUCAAGGGAGGGAGGUCAGAAUGUUUCAAAUGGGGAACAAAACCGCAGUUGAGCUUUCAGCUCAGAUUUGUAAGAUGGAGCAAGGAAAGAGCCCACUGACUCCAAAGUAAUGGACCCGUUAAAAUUAAUUCCUCCUUUAUAGUUUUUUUUUUUUUUUUUUUUUUGGGGGGGGGGUGUC